AUAUGGCAAAAGACAAUGCUGGAUUCCAAAUUAAUUUCCUUAGCAAGAAAGUGCUUACAAAUAGUUCAUUGUUGGAUGAAGAGAGGGUCUUCAAAUGGAGCACUCAUUGCCAUUGUUGCUGGGUCCAUCUACUUUAAUUUCUCUAGGAAGAUAAAAAUGUCAACAUUUGGUACUGGCCAUACUUUCCCAGUUUGAAGACUUCCAGAAGUGGUUCAAGAAUUGUUCACAGCAUGUUGAGGCCAUGCUGCCCAGGAAUUCUGGAACCUGAACUGCCCUACAAGUAGAAGACACAAGGCUGAGGAUCAGUGAUAUAGAGCACAAUUUCUUUCUAUCUGAGUGGAGUCAAAAAUCCAGUAGUUUUCUUCAGAAUUCCUUCUUUGUUUGUGUCUCUUCCCUUUCAUCGUUAUCUAAUUUAAAGCCACAUAACCCUACUUUUUGACUUGAGCAUGCAUCCCCUCUUCAUUUACACUGCCCAUGCUUUUUUUGAUGCAGGAAUGGAUUUUUAAAUGUUUAAAUUAUUCUUCUGAGGAAAAAAAAAAGAGUUUUAAUUUUAAAAUUGGUUACUUUGUAUCUCUUUGAUAUGAAAAUGCUUUUAAUGUUUAAAUGCCAUUUCUCUGCAUUUGAAUUAAUCAAAGCAAGGUGGGAGGGAAGAAACAGCCAAAAAUAAACUUAAUGGAUUAUAUAAAC